rnacentral:lncRNA from 1 species
AAAAAGGGAAGGAGUAGAGAAGUUAUCCAGCCUGCUGACUAAGAAAUGGAAAUAGCCUAUGCUUUGCUGUCUAUCUCUCUCUAUCUCUCUCCGUCUGUCUGCCUGCCUGCCUAACUGACAUAUUGCUGAAGGGCAACAUAGUCAAUGUACUUGCUAGGCUAAGCGUAACUUAGUGAAGACCUUGAUUUGUCUCUGUCUUUACAGUUCCUGAAACAUGUCAAUGGCCUGAUGCAUGGCCUCUACAGAGGUGGUUGGCCACCCACUCAGUUACCAGUGACCUAUUCUGCCACAUCCCAGGGAAUUGAGAGCGCAGGACCACCCCUUCUUAAAUCCAUAGUAAUUGACACAGAGGGUUCUACCUGGAACCCAAAACGGUUCAAACUGGAACCAAAAAGGCUUUGCCUAUGAGGACAGCUGAACAACCUUUUGGACCCUUGUUUCUAAGAGUGUAGUGUGCAAAAGCCUUGUGUCCUGAUUCAACAGACACCUCCCCUGGUGAGUCAUGUAAAGUUUCCUGAUUCAACAAAACCUCCCCUGGUGAGUCAUGUAAAGUUUCCUGAUUGAACAAACACCUCCCCUGGUGAGUCAUGUAAAGUUUCUCCCAUUUCUCUCUUGCUCAUUCUCUCUUUCACUCCCUCAAACUCACACACAUGCAGAUGUAGAGAAGAGGAAGAGAUAUACCAAUUACAUCAAUUUCUAACACUGUUUGUUGCAGGAAUUAUAUGACAGACGCAUAACCUUUUGAACAAUAUAAUAUUUUACUGUCGCUUUAUUGCCUCUUUACACAUACUUACAUUUUUGCAUUUAACUUUGUUUUUUAAGACUGCCACGCUGUCCUAUAUUGGGGAACCUUGUCCAGGACAAUGACCUCAGGAUUAUGGAGCUGUGUGUUUAUAAAAAAAGUUUGAAUAUUACAACAUGUAUUAGGAUUAAGAUAAACUUGACCAUUUAGAGAGGAGUUCAACAUUUUCAUUAUUGAACUACUGUCUAAUUUUAAUAACCUCUUUCUUAAAAUAUUUCUGAUUGAUGACCAAUGGAUUAAUGUCCCACUUCAAAAUGAAGGGACAGAAGAGCAAACAUGCCUUUGCUACCACUUUUAGUAGAUUCUCACUGUUACAAAUCUUUUACUGUGUGUUACUGUUAUGUUCUGCAUGCCC